rnacentral:rRNA from 1 species
GGUGGUAACACCUGGCGAAAGUUAGUGGCGAACGGGUGCGUAACACGUGAGCAACCUGCCCUAGAGACUGGGAUAACACGUCGGGAAACCGGUGCUAAUACCGGAUACCCCCAUCCCACCGCAUGGUGGAAUGAGGAAAUGUUUUUCGCUCUUGGAGGGGCCCGCGGCCUAUCAGCUUGUUGGUGAGGUAACGGCUCACCAAGGCUUCGACGAGUAGCUGGUCUGAGAGGACGAGCGUGCACACUGGACUGAGACACG